AUGUUACUUCGUGUGGCACGUUUACGACGUGCGCGGCGGCUGGCUACUCCUCUGCAGCUCCUGGGGCAGAUAAGGGAGAUAUUGUCGGAGGAGGAGGAGCGUGAAGGAAAGAGGGGAGACGGGCCACAGCUCUGCGCUGCACACAGCUACAAUGGGAGAGGCGUGUUAGAGCGAGAGCAGUACAGCCGAGGGACUCGCUGCAGUGCAGGUGGAUCACAACCAGAGGCCGAGGCUCACAGGCAGCAGCGUGACUCCGACUGGCUUUCCAGCAGGCUGCUUUCUCACUGCCGUCUUGUCUUGUUGCCACUGUGCACUUGUGACAUCUUCUCCGAGCUGACAGUAUUAAGGAAGAGGACGUAG
ensembl:lncRNA